rnacentral:rRNA from 1 species
AAUCAACGCUGGCGGCGUGCCUCAGACAUGCAAGUCGAACGCGAAAGUCCCCUUCGGGGGAUAAGUAGAGUGGCGCACGGGUGAGUAACACGUAGGUAAUCUACCUUCGGGUGGGGAAUAACAACCGGAAACGGUUGCUAAUACCGCAUAAUGCAGCGGCACCUAAUGGUGACAGUUGUUAAAGCGGGGGAUCGCAGGACCUCGCGCCUGAAGAGGAGCCUGCGGCAGAUUAGCAGUUGGUGAGGUAAUGGCUCACCAAGGCUUCGAUCUGUAGCUGGUCUGAGAGGACGGCCAGCCACACUGGCACUGACACACGGGCCAGACUCCUACGGGAGGCAGCAGUGGGGAAUUUUUCGCAAUGGGGCAACCCUGACGAAGCAACGCCGCGUGGGGGAUGAAGGUCUUCGGAUUGUAAACCCCUGUCGACUGGGACGAAUGUAGAGCGGCCUAAUACGCCGAGCUAUUGAC